GUGGUGAUGACACGACCCAUUGGUGGCAUUGGGUUGUUUCCUGCUCUUUUGUCGGGUUGAUGUCUCUUUGACACAUUCCCUGUCUGUAUUCUCUAUCAAAAUCAUGCAUGAAUUUUUAUCAUUGUUAAAGGCCAUACAGUUGCCUAUACUUGCUCUCAUCCACCUCAUUUGAACUUGGGGUGGAUAGUUGUCUCAUUGGUAUUCAUACCGCAUGUUCUUAUACUUGUAUAAUGUUGACCUUUUGGUACUUUUAUUCUCAAUUUUUGUUUAAGUCAACAAGAUGUCCUGUUAAUCAUGUUGAUGUCUACUUUUGGUAAAUGUAUGUCAUUGGGUUCACAGGUUGCUGCCUCAUUGACACCUCCUUUCAUUGAUGCUGCAUCUAUUGUUUUACUGUCUUGUUUUGCAUAAAAACAAAUUUUACAGUGUAUUCCUCAUGCCAUGGUUUUGUUUCAAGGUUUAGAUAGCCAAUUGGUAUAUAUUCACUGACAACAUUUGUAUUCUUUUAUGGACUUUUUUUAGUGUGAAAAAAAUGCC
rnacentral:lncRNA from 1 species